rnacentral:rRNA from 1 species
UACUCCUACGGGAGGCAGCAGUGGGGAAUAUUGCACAAUGGGCGAAAGCCUGAUGCAGCGACGCCGCGUGAGCGAAGAAGUAUUUCGGUAUGUAAAGCUCUAUCAGCAGGGAAGAUAAUGACGGUACCUGACUAAGAAGCACCGGCUAAAUACGUGCCAGCAGCCGCGGUAAU